rnacentral:rRNA from 1 species
GACGAACGCUGGCGGCGUGCUUAACACAUGCAAGUCGAACGGAAAGGCCCUGCUUUUGUGGGGUGCUCGAGUGGCGAACGGGUGAGUAACACGUGAGUAACCUGCCCUUGACUUUGGGAUAACUUCAGGAAACUGGGGCUAAUACCGGAUAGGAGCUCCUGCUGCAUGGCGGGGGUUGGAAAGUUUCGGCGGCUGGGGAUGGACUUGCGGCUUAUCAGCUUGUUGGUGGGGUAGUGGCUUACCAAGGCUUUGACGGGUAGCCGGCCUGAGAGGGUGACCGGCCACAUUGGGACUGAGAUGCGGCCCAGACUCCUACGGGAGGCAGCGGUGGGAAAUAGUGCACAAUGGGCGGAAGCCUGAUGCAGCAACGCCGCGUGCGAGAUGACGGCCUUCGGGUUGUAAACCGCUUUCGCCUGUGACGAAGCGUGAGUGACGGUAAUGGGUAAAGAAGCACCGGCUAACUACGUG